rnacentral:lncRNA from 1 species
CUAGAAUAGUCCUUUCCUCUUCUCUCAGGAAAAAUAAUGGAAUGCUGAAAGUUGGAGAAGGGACAGAACUGGAGGUUUAAUGGGGAUGGGGGAACAGUCAGAAAUGAGCUAGAAAGCUGCUAGUCUGCAAUGACAAGGACCUACUUGACGCUCUGGCACAAGGUGAUGGCUAGGGAUUCAGGUUUGGAAUUCUGGAAGCCUCGGACUUGGAGGACAUAGAAUGGAAG